rnacentral:rRNA from 1 species
CCUACGGGAGGCAGCAGUGGGGAAUAUUGGACAAUGGGGGGAACCCUGAUCCAGCCAUGCCGCGUGUGUGAAGAAGGUCCUCGGGUUGUAAAGCACUUUCAGUGAGGAAGAACGCCUGGUGGUUAAUACCCAUCAGGAAAGACAUCACUCACAGAAGAAGCACCGGCUAACUCCGUGCCAGCAGCCGCGGUAAUACGGAGGGUGCGAGCGUUAAUCGGAAUUACUGGGCGUAAAGCGCGCGUAGGUGGCUUGAUAAGCCGGUUGUGAAAGCCCCGGGCUCAACCUGGGAACGGCAUCCGGAACUGUCAAGCUAGAGUGCAGGAGAGGAAGGUAGAAUUCCCGGUGUAGCGGUGAAAUGCGUAGAGAUCGGGAGGAAUACCAGUGGCGAAGGCGGCCUUCUGGACUGACACUGACACUGAGGUGCGAAAGCGUGGGUAGCAAACAGGAUUAGAUACCCGGGUAGUC